rnacentral:rRNA from 1 species
GGGUGACAGGUGGUGCAUGGUUGUCGGUCAGGCUUCGGUGUCGUGAGAUGUUGGGUUAAGUCCCGCAACGAGCGCAACCCUCGACCUUAGUUGCCAGCAUUCAGUUGGGCACUCUAAGGUGACUGCCGGCUAAAAGUCGGAGGAAGGUGGGAUGACGUCAAAUCAUCAUGCCCCUUAUGACCUGGGCUACACACGUGCUACAAUGGGCGGUACAAAGGGUCGCGAACCCGCGAGGGGGAGCCAAUCCCAAAAAGCCGCUCUCAGUUCGGAUUGCAGGCUGCAACUCGCCUGCAUGAAGCCGGAAUCGCUAGUAAUCGCGGAUCAGCAUGCCGCGGUGAAUACGUUCCCGGGCCUU